AUGAACGCUGGCGGCGUGCCUAAUACAUGCAAGUCGAGCGAACGGACGAGAAGCUUGCUUUUCUGAUGUUAGCGGCGGACGGGUGAGUAACACGUGGAUAACCUACCUAUAAGACUGGGAUAACUUCGGGAAACCGGAGCUAAUACCGGAUAAUAUUUUGAACCGCAUGGUUCAAAAGUGAAAGACGGUCUUGCUGUCACUUAUAGAUGGAUCCGCGCUGCAUUAGCUAGUUGGUAAGGUAACGGCUUACCAAGGCAACGAUGCAUAGCCGACCUGAGAGGGUGAUCGGCCACACUGGAACUGAGACACGGUCCAGACUCCUACGGGAGGCAGCAGUAGGGAAUCUUCCGCAAUGGGCGAAAGCCUGACGGAGCAACGCCGCGUGAGUGAUGAAGGUCUUCGGAUCGUAAAACUCUGUUAUUAGGGAAGAACAUGUGUGUAAGUAACUGUGCACAUCUUGACGGUACCUAAUCAGAAAGCCACGGCUAACUACGUG
rnacentral:rRNA from 1 species